rnacentral:rRNA from 1 species
UUAGUGGCAGACGGGUGAGUAACAUGUGGGUAUCUACCCUUUGGCCUGGAAUAACACGAGGAAACUUGUGCUAAUACCGGAUAAGUCUUUACGGAGAAAGCUUUAUGCACCAUUGGAUGAGCCCGCACUUGAUUAGUUUGUUGGUGGGGUAAUGGCCUACCAAGACUAUGAUCAAUAGCUGAUUUGAGAGGAUGAUCAGCCACAUUGGGACUGAGACACGGCCCAAACUCCUACGGGAGGCAGCAGUGGGGAAUCUUGCACAAUGGAGGAAACUCUGAUGCAGCGAUGCCGCGUGAGUGAAGAAGGCCUUUGGGUUGUAAAGCUCUUUCGUCGGGGAAGAAAAUGACUGUACCCGAAUAAGAAGGUCCGGCUAACUUCGUGCCAGCAGCCGCGGUAAUACGAAGGGACCUAGCGUAGUUCGGAAUUACUGGGCUUAAAGAGUUCGUAGGUGGUUGAAAAAGUUGGUGGUGAAAUCCCAGAGCUUAACUCUGGAACUGCCAUCAAAACUUUUCAGCUAGAGUAUGAUAGAGGAAAG